rnacentral:rRNA from 1 species
GUGGGGAAUUUUGGACAAUGGGGGCAACCCUGAUCCAGCAAUGCCGCGUGCAGGAAGAAGGCCUUCGGGUUGUAAACUGCUUUUGUACGGAACGAAACGGUCUGGGUUAAUACCCUGGGCUAAUGACGGUACCGUAAGAAUAAGCACCGGCUAACUACGUGCCAGCAGCCGCGGUAAUACGUAGGGUGCGAGCGUUAAUCGGAAUUACUGGGCGUAAAGCGUGCGCAGGCUGUGCUGCAAGUCAGCUGUGAAAUGUCUGGGCUUAACCCGGGCAUGCGGUUGAGACUGCAGUGCUGGAGUGCUGUAGAGGCAAGUGGAAUUCCCAGUGUAGCAGUGAAAUGCGUAGAUAUGCGGAGGAACACCGAUGGCGAAGGCAAUCCCCUGGGCCUGCACUGACGCUCAUGCACGAAAGCGUGGGGAGCAAACAGGAUUAGAAACCCUGGUAGUCC